rnacentral:lncRNA from 10 species
CUGCUGUGCUAGCAAUCAGUGAGACUCCCUGGGCAUAGGACCCUCCGAGCCAGGUGGGGGUUAUAAUCUCGUGGUGCGCCGUUUUUUAAGCCCGUCGGAAAAGCGCAGUAUUCCGGUUGGAGUGACCCGAUUUCCAGUGAGAUGAACCCGGUACCUCAGAUGGAAAUGCAGAAAUCACCCGUCUUCUGCGUCGCUCAAGCUGGGAGCUGUAGACCGGAGCUGUUCCUACUCGGCCAUCUUGGCUCCUCCCCGCCAAGAAUAUGACUGCAUUUGGAAAUAGGGACUUUAAAGAGGUGAUUAAGUUACAAUGAGGCCACUAGAGAAGACAAUUAUCCAUUUGGACUGAUGUGCUUAGAAGAAGAGCAUAUUGGUAAAAAGAGACACCAGAGGUACAACAGCACAGAGAAAGACCAUGUGAGGACAUAGUGAGAAGAUGGCCAUCCCAUCUGCAAGCCAAGGACAGAGGCCUCAGGAGAAACCAACCCUGAUGACACCUUGAUCUUGGACUUCACAGCCUCCAGAACUAACAUACUCAAGUGUCUCAGCUCAACAUUUGGAGAUGAGCCAUCCUCCUCUUAUUGUAAGAAAAGCUUGAAGGAGUAUUUUCACAGCGAUGGAACUGGAAGUUAAGGCAACUUCUAUCAGCAUCAAGAAAAGAAAAGAAGUAUUCACCACUUACGAAACAACAUCUCUCUUCUCAUCAAUAGUUUGAUUUACAGCAUCUACUGCAGAAGACCUCAAUAAUGCAUAAGAACAUCUGGAAGUACGGUAAUUUCAGCUAUCAGAGAUAAGAAUUGACACAGAACAGAACUGAAAGAGAACCUUUGAAACACCCUUUAGAUUAAGAGCCUGGCUUGUAAUCUGUAACAACAAACGGUAUUACAAUGAGAAAAAUAAAUGUCCUGUCAAGGCAUUCCUUCAAUGACAUCUUGUCACACAAGUCUAUAUCCAAGGCUGCCCACAAAGUGGAAAAAUGGGGAAAAUAGAGAAUUCAGCUCACUAUGAUUUCUGCAAUAUACAAUUAUGGGAAAUCAUGUUUGGAUUGACACUGCAGACAGAAAUGGCAUGCAUGAUUCCUGUUUGGACAGGAAUAGCUGUUGGGGAGGAAGCCAACCUUGAAUGACACUGAAGAGCAACAUAAUGAAGCAUGAAUUGACAGGCAUCCUUCACGUUGCUUCUGGCUUCCCGUGUAAAAAGCCAUAUCUGAGCGCAGCUCUUAUGGGGCCAGAUCCAGGGGAGGAGAAAGGAAGUGAGGCCCAGAAAAAAUACAUUGUCAUGGAGGAGUGAAACUGAAGACAAAACAAAAAGGACUUUCCACAACUAGGCCCCUGGCUUACACUGCAAUGGAAGAAGAGGAGCAGAAAUACUGCCAAAGAUCCUUAUGAUGGCAUUGCAUUUUAGACUGCUUUUCAACUGAUUAUGACAGUAUCAACAAAAGAAACUUUCAUUUGAGGGACAUGGAUGGAGCUGGAGGCCAUUAUCCUUAGCAAGGUAACACAAGAACAGAAAACGAAAUACUGCAUGUUCUCACUUAUAAAUGGGAACUAAAUGAUGAGAAUAUAUGGACACAUAGAGGGGAACAACACACACUGAAGCCUUUUAGAGGGUGAAUGGUGGGAAGAGGGAGAGGAUCAGAAAAAAUAACCAAUGGGUACUAGGCUUAAAACUGGGUGAUGGAGGCAGGGCGUGGUGGCUCACGCCUGUAAUCCCAACACUUUGGGAGGCUGAGGCGGGCAGAUCACCAGGUCAGGAGAUGGAGAUCAUCCUGGUGAACACGGUGAAACCCCAUCUCUACUAAAAAUACAAAAAAAUUAGCUGGGCGUGGCGGCCGGCGCCUGUAAUCCCAGCUACUCGGAAGGCUGAGGCAGGAGAAUGGCGAGAACCCGGGAGGCGGAGCUUGCAGUGAGCUGAGAUCGCGCCACUGCACUCCAGACUGGGCGAUAGAGCAAGACUCCCUAUCAAAAACAAAACAAAACAAAACAAAACAAAACAAAACAAAACUGGAUGAUGAAAUAAUCUGCACAGCAAACUCCCACAACACACGUUUACCUAUAUAACAACUUGCAGUUGUACCCCUGAACUUAAAAGAAUAAUCGGCCAGGCGCAGUGGGUCACGCCUGUAAUCCCAGCACUUUGGGAGGCUGAUGUGGGUGGAUCACCUGAAGUAAGGAGUUCGAGACCAGCCUGGCCAACAUGACGAAACCCCGUCUCUACUAAAAAUAACAAAAAUUAUCUGGGCAUGUUGGCACACGUGCCUGUAAUCCCAGCUACUGGGGGACUGAGGCAGGAGGAUCACUUGAACCUGGGAGGAGGAGGUUGCAGCGAGCCGAGAUCGCACCACUGCACUCCAGCCGGUGCAACAGAGUGAGACUUCAUCUCAAAUAAAUAAAUAAAUAAAAGAUUAAUAAACAAAAACAAAAAAACACAAAAAAUUCUAUACCUCAAUUUAUAAAAUUCUAUAACUGUCUAUUAACUACUAAUAAAAAUGUGUGAUAAAGGC